GAUCAUGGCUCAGAAUCAACGCUGGCGGCGUGCCUCAGACAUGCAAGUCGAACGAUUAAAGCUCUCUUCGGAGAGUGUAUAGAAUGGCGCACGGGUGAGUAACACGUAAGUAAUCUACCUUCGAGUGGGGAAUAACGUUCGGAAACGAACGCUAAUACCGCAUAAUGCAGCGGCAUCGCAAGAUGACAGUUGUUAAAGGAAUUUAUUUCGCUUGAAGAGGAGCUUGCGGCAGAUUAGCUUGUUGGUAAGGUAACGGCUUACCAAGGCUACGAUCUGUAUCCGGUCUAAGAGGACGGUCGGACACACUGACACUGAAUAACGGGUCAGACUCCUACGGGAGGCAGCAGUCGGGAAUUUUGGGCAAUGGGCGAAAGCCUGACCCAGCAACGCCGCGUGAAGGAUGAAGUAUUUCGGUAUGUAAACUUCGAAAGAAUGGGAAGAAUAAAUGACGGUACCAUUUAUAAGCUCCGGCUAACUACGUGCCAGCAGCCGCGGUAAUACGUAGGG
rnacentral:rRNA from 1 species